rnacentral:rRNA from 1 species
AGAUGGCGACCGGCGCACGGGUGAGUAACACGUAUCCAACCUGCCGAUAACUCGGGGAUAGCCUUUCGAAAGAAAGAUUAAUACCCGAUAGUAUAAUGAAGCCGCAUGGUCUUAUUAUUAAAGAAUUUCGGUUAUCGAUGGGGAUGCGUUCCAUUAGGCAGUUGGUGAGGUAACGGCUCACCAAACCUUCGAUGGAUAGGGGUUCUGAGAGGAAGGUCCCCCACAUUGGAACUGAGACACGGUCCAA